rnacentral:rRNA from 1 species
AACGAACGCUAGCGGCAUGCCUCAAACAUGCAAGUCAUACGAGAAAGUCCCUUCGGGGGCGAGUACAGUGGCGCACGGGUGAGUAACACGUAGCUAACCUACCCUUUCGCUGGGGAUAACUCCGGGAAACCGGAGCUAAUACCGAAUGAUCUGACAGGGCCCGCGGGUCUUGUCGGUAAAGCCGUAAGGCGCGAUAGGAUGGGGCUGCGGUCCAUUAGCUAGUUGGCGGGGUAAUGGCCCACCAAGGCGACGAUGGAUAGCUGGUCUGAGAGGAUGAUCAGCCACACUGGAACUGAAACACGGUCCAGACUCCCACGGGAGGCAGCAGUUGGGAAUAUUGGACAAUGGGCGAAAGCCUGAUCCAGCAAUGCCGCGUGAGUGAUGAAGGCCUUAGGGUUGUAAAGCUCUUUUACCAGGGAUGAUAAUGACAGUACCUGGAGAAUAAGCUCCGGCUAACCCGUGCCAGCAGCCGACGGUAAACGUAGCGUG